CACGUAGGGAGCAAGCGUUGUCCGGAAUCAUUGGGCGUAAAGCGCGCGUAGGUGGCCCCAUAAGUCCGCUGUGAAAGUCAAAGGCUCAACCUUUGAAAGCCGGUGGAUACUGUGGGACUAGAGUACGGAAGAGGCGAGUGGAAUUCCUGGUGUAGCGGUGGAAUGCGCAGAUAUCAGGAGGAACACCAAUAGCGAAGGCAGCUCGCUGGGACGUUACUGACACUGAGGCGCGAAAGCGUGGGGAGCGAACAGG
rnacentral:rRNA from 1 species